UGGGGAAUAUUGCACAAUGGGCGCAAGCCUGAUGCAGCCAUGCCGCGUGUAUGAAGAAGGCCUUCGGGUUGUAAAGUACUUUCAGCGGGGAGGAAGGUGUUGAGGUUAAUAACCUCAGCAAUUGACGUUACCCGCAGAAGAAGCACCGGCUAACUCCGUGCCAGCAGCCGCGGUAAUACGGAGGGUGCAAGCGUUAAUCGGAAUUACUGGGCGUAAAGCGCACGCAGGCGGUCUGUCAAGUCGGAUGUGAAAUCCCCGGGCUCAACCUGGGAACUGCAUUCGAAACUGGCAGGCUAGAGUCUUGUAGAGGGGGGUAGAAUUCCAGGUGUAGCGGUGAGAUGCGUAGAGAUCUGGAGGAAUACCGGUGGCGAAGGCGGCCCCCUGGACAAAGACUGACGCUCAGGUGCGAAAGCGUGGGGAGCAAACA
rnacentral:rRNA from 1 species